UCAGGAUGAACGCUGGCGGCGUGCCUAACACAUGCAAGUCGAACGAGCGAGAGAUGAAACCUAGUGAUUCUCGAGCGAGUGGCGGACGGGUGAGUAACGCGUGGGUAACCUGCCUUACAGAGGGGGAUAACAGUUUGAAAAGACUGCUAAUACCGCAUAAGCACACAGUACCGCAUGGUACAGGGUGAAAAGAUUUAUCACUGUAAGAUGGACCCGCGUCUGAUUAGCCAGUUGGCAGGGUAACGGCCUACCAAAGCGACGAUCAGUAGCCGACCUGAGAGGGUGAUCGGCCACAUUGGGACUGAGACACGGCCCAAACUCCUACGGGAGGCAGCAGUGGGGGAUAUUGCACAAUGGAGGAAACUCUGAUGCAAGCGACGCCGCGUGAGUGAAGAAGUAUUUCGGUAUGUAAAGCUCUAUCAGCAGGGAAGAUAAUGACAGUACCUGACCAAGAAGCCCCGGCUAACUACGUGCCAGCCGCGGC
rnacentral:rRNA from 1 species